UACGUAGGGGGCGAGCGUUGUCCGGAUUUAUUGGGCGUAAAGAGCUCGUAGGCGGCUGUUCGAGUCGGGUGUGAAAUCCUGAGGCUUAACCUUGGGUCUGCAUUCGAUACUGGGCGGCUUGAGUCUGGUAGGGGGAUCUCGAAUUCCUGGUGUAGCGGUGGAAUGCGCAGAUAUCAGGAGGAACACCGGUGGCGAAGGCGGGAUCCUGGGCCAGUACUGACGCUGAGGAGCGAAAGCGUGGGGAGCGAACAGG
rnacentral:rRNA from 1 species